rnacentral:lncRNA from 1 species
UGAGAUGGAGAGAGGGUCCUGAUUAUCCAGGUGGGCCCAAUAUAAUCAGAGGGUCCUUAAAAGUGGAAGAGGGCUGCAGGAGAGUCGGUGUCGGAGGGAUGUGGCAUGCAAAAGACUAUCUACCAUGGCUGGCUUUAAAGAUGGAAGGAGGCCGUGAGCCAACGGAUGCAGCAUUUCCUAGAAGGUGGAAAAGAACAUAGAAGCUGAAAGACCGGGAGAGAAGGAUCACUUUCGUAUAGGCCUGGUAACCCCAUGACUGCCUGCAAUCAAGAAAAUUGUACCACAUAAACCACUGUUCAGAGAGAAUGCUGUUCAUUUGCCAGUAUCUUUUUUUUUCUUCUGGGCACGCAGCUAGGCUGUAUUUCCCAGUCUCCUCUGCUGUUAGGUGGAGCCAUAUAACUGAGUUCUGGCCAACGGAACAAGAGGCAAUCAUGGGUCUAGUGGCUGGAUGUGGAGAUCUGGUGAACUCCAAGACCCUGGAGAUUGGUGAAGCCCCUAGACUGGAAGCAUCCUGGGUUCCUAAGUUGCCAUGUGGAAUAAAGCUACCCAGGAGACCCACCCAACCACAGACACCUGUGUUGGACUGUUUCAGGGCUCUUGCAAUAUCCCCAGCUCCGUUUUAAUGAGUCAGCGAUUUCCUUGAAAUGGCAUGAAGUCAAAGCAGGGCUUCCAGGCUGCCAGCACAGUGACACUGAGAAGCCAAGUCACCAAGACUAGAGCUGAAAGAGAAUCCAAGAAACCAUUUGGCCCAACUUUCUGGCUUCAGGCAAAUAAGAUGUUCCAUCAGCAGAAGAGUUUUAGAAGAUCUAGACAGCCUUUGGCAAGGAAUGGUGUCUCUCUAGUCAUUGUGUUAAGCAAAAAGAGAAAACGCUGUACAAGGAAAGCAAAUUGCAGUUAAAAUUAAAGUGUUAUCCCUAUGAAGGAACAGUCCAUCGAAUGGUACCUACAUCAGGACAAGACUUUCCCCUAUUCAUUACCUGUUUCUAAUUUGUCUCCAGUGUCAACUCUUUUCCCCAAAAACUAGGCUAACAAUUGCCAUCAAUUCACUUGGCACAGAGUGUCCUAUUGCCAAGGUGUUAAAAAAAAUAUAUAUUUUUUUAAAAAUUUAAUUUUCUCUACAAAGAAUGUUUAAAUAACAAGAGAAAGUCACCAUCUUAACACAUAUCCUACCAUUUUAAAACAACCACUUUUAGCAUCUUGGUGCAUUUUGGUCUUUUGGGGGUAUAGUCCAGAAAAAUUGCUUUUGGUCCAAGUAUCCCUAUACAGUACUUUAGUUUGCUUUUUCCGUUAAU